rnacentral:rRNA from 1 species
AGCGAACGCUGGCGGCAGGCCUAACACAUGCAAGUCGAGCGCCCCGCAAGGGGAGCGGCAGACGGGAGAGUAACACGUGGGAACGUACCCUUCAGUUCUGAACAACCCAGGGAAACUUGGGCUAAUACCGAAUACGUCCGUAAGGAGAAAGAUUUAUCGCUGAAGGAUCGGCCCGCGUCUGAUUAGCUAGUUGGUGAGGUAACGGCUCACCAAGGCGACGAUCAGUAGCUGGUCUGAGAGGAUGAUCAGCCUCACUGGGACUGAGACACGGCCCAGACUCCUACGGGAGGCAGCAGUGGGGAAUAUUGGACAAUGGGCGCAAGCCUGAUCCAGCCAUGCCGCGUGGAUGAUGAAGGCCCUAGGGUUGUAAAGUCCUUUUAACGGGGAAGAUAAUGACGGUACCCGUAGAAUAAGCCCCGGCUAACUUCGUGCCAGCAGCCGCCGUAA